rnacentral:rRNA from 1 species
GAACGCGAAGAACCUUACCAGGUCUUGACAUUGAUGGACAGAACUAGAGAUAGUUCCUCUUCUUCGGAAGCCAGAAAACAGGUGGUGCACGGUUGUCGUCAGCUUGUGUCGUGAGAUGUUGGGUUAAGUCCCGCAACGAGCGCAACCCCUAUCUUAUGUUGCCAGCACUUCGGGUGGGAACUCAUGAGAGACUGCCGCAGACAAUGCGGAGGAAGGCGGGGAUGACGUCAAAUCAUCAUGCCCCUUAUGACCUGGGCUACACACGUACUACAAUGGGAGUUAAUAGACGGAAGCAAUACCGCGAGGUGGAGCAAACCCGAGAAACACUCUCUCAGUUCGGAUCGUAGGCUGCAACUCGCCUACGUGAAGUCGGAAUCGCUAGUAAUCGUGGAUCAGCACGCCACGGUGAAUACGUUCCCGGGUCUUGUACACACC